rnacentral:rRNA from 1 species
AUUGAACGCUGGCGGCAUGCUUUACACAUGCAAGUCGAACGGUAACAGGCCUUCGGGUGCUGACGAGUGGCGAACGGGUGAGUAAUGCAUCGGAACGUACCCAGAGGUGGGGGAUAACGCAGCGAAAGCUGUGCUAAUACCGCAUGUGAUCUGAGGAUGAAAGCGGGGGACCGAGCAGCAAUGUUUGGCCUCGCGCCUUUGGAGCGGCCGAUGUCGGAUUAGCUAGUUGGUGGGGUAAAGGCCUACCAAGGCGACGAUCCGUAGCUGGUCUGAGAGGACGACCAGCCACACUGGGACUAAGACACGGCCCAGACGCCUAGGGGAGGCAGCAGUGGGGAAUGUUGGACAAUGGGCGCAAGCCUGAUCCAGCAAUGCCGCGUGCGGGAAGAAGGCCUUCGGGUUGUAAACCGCUUUUGGCAGGAACGAAACGGUGUCCGCUAAUACCGGGCGCUAAUGACGGUACCUGCAGAAUAAGCACCGGCUAACUACGUG